UCAUUGCAGUCAGGACUCAGCAUGGACAUGAGGGCCUCUGCUCAGUUUCAUGGGAUCCUGUUGCUCUGGUUUCCAGGUAAAAUAAACUAAAAUUGGAAUUUCAUUGUUAUACUGUGAUUAGUAUUGACUUACGUUUGGGGAAUGUAUUCUUUUACCAUGCUUACAUAUAUGGAUAUUCAUUAUGUUUCCUCUUCUAGGAGCUAGAUGUGACGUCCAGAUGACUCCAUCUCCCAUGUGUGCCUCUCUGGGAGAGACAAUCAUUCUCAAUUGCCAGGGAAGUCAGGACAUUAGCAGUUAUUAAAGCUGGUAUCAGCAGAAACCAGGGAAAUCUCCUUAGCCCUUGAUGUAUGGUAUGGGAAGAUGGAGUCCAAUCAAGGUUCAGUGGCAGUGGAUCAGGUACAGAUUUCACAUUCAAGAUCAGGAGAAAGCAGCAUGGGAAUUUACAAGUGUAUUACCACAUGUAACAUAUUCGUGUUCCUCCCAGAGUGGUCCAGAUCUUAACAAAAAUAUCUUUCUUUUAUGGUCCAGGUGUCAAAUAUGUUAGUUCUUUGUAAGGGAGAGGUACUGAGAAACUUCAGAUUACUAGUUGCAGCUGAGGGCUCUGGAACAUGAGAUCAUUUUCUGCAGUUAAAGUGCCAUGCAUUUUUUUUUUUAACCUCAUCCACUGUAAUACCGAUGAUAUUGCAUCUGCCUUAGGAGACUAGUGAACAGGUGUCCUCUUAACAGCCAGCAAUGGAUGAGCAUGAAGGUGAGUGAAAACCCAUUCUGAUCCUACCAGCCUUGUCUGCCUUUGUUACUCAGGAUCCAGAGUAAAGAUGACAGAAAAUAAGACCCAUUCUUUAUUAAAACUGUUUCCUUUAAUAAAUAAUUUCAUCAUUUGUCACAUUUUAUGCUUUUAAAUAGAUUUCAUUUGUUUAUAAAUAUACUGCAGGUUCUAUUUUCCCUUUGUUUUGUAAAGUAUGACUCAUUAACUUUCAGAGUAUGUCUUUACUUCUCAAGAAAUGUUUCUUUUCUGACAGGAAAAUGGAAUAGUUCCCUUUUUCCUACCCUUUGAAAACCAUAUUGACUGCAUUUUUUAUUCCAACUGCAUACACAGUAAUCAUCCUAUUAUCUUCAUGUUAGUAUUUUCUGAUUGUUUUGUGUAAUUUUUCAUGUGUCCCCAUUUGUUUGGUGUUUGGUAUUUUUAUAUAAUGAUAAUAUUUCACUUUUUCCUUCACUUUUAUGAAUGUUAGUUAAUUUAAUGCAAACAUAUUUUCAAGAUAAAUUACCUUUGAAUUCAGAGAGUAGUUUUUUUGCUCUCAUUUUUUAACUUUUCUGGUAAUCAUUUUUUUUUGUUUCUUUGUUUGGAAGGGAAAUUUUAUUGUUAUUUCUCGUUAGAACUUUGGCAAUAUCCAAUUUUCUCUCCAUUGGUAGUUUUUGUAAAUAAAGAUUAUUUAUUUAUUUAUGUAUUUAUUUAAUGCAUAUAGUGACACUGUUGCUGUCUUCAGACACAGCAGAAGAGUGGACUGGAUUCUAUUAAAGAUUGUUGUGAGCCACCAUGUGGUUGCUGGGAGUUCAGCUCAGGACAUCUGGAAGAGCAGUCAGUGCUUUUAAUCAUUGAGCCAUCUCUACAGACCUCCAUCAUUAGCUUUUUAGGGAAGAAAUAACUCUGAUUUCCCUUUUGGUCAGAAACUCCACCUCCACCUGUGGCAGCUCAGUGUGCUGGGUCUCCCACCUAACAGCCCUGCCCGUCUCCAAGGAGAACUGCUCUAACCAGGAACACAGGAGCCUGACCUAUCUAGGGACACUAGAAGCCUGCUCUAACUUGGGACACAGGAGGCAUACCCUAACCAGAGACAGCACUACUUGCCUCCCAGGAGGCCUGCUCCAAGCGAAGGAUCCCAGGAGAGUUAAUACUACAUAUAACCAGAUGGAGAAAGACAAGUUGAAGAACAUAAACAAGAGAAGCCAAUGCACUGCUCCAGUUCAAGAUUCCCAGGACAGUUAACACCACAUAUAAUCAGGUGGUGAAAGGCAAGUUGAAGAACAUAAACAAACGAAGUCAAUGUAAUUUAGGCACCAUCAGAGUCCAGUUCUUUUACCACAGCAAGCCCUGGAUACCUUAACAUACGCAAAGAGCAUGAUUCUGAUGUAAAUUUCCAUCUCUCAAAGAUGAUAGAAGCCUUUAAAGAGGAAACAAAUAACUCCCUUAAAGAAAUAUAGGAAAAGACAGGCAAACAGGAGGAGGCCCUUAAAGAGGAAACAAAUAAAUCCCUUAAAGAAAUACAGGAAAAUACAAUCAAAUUGGUGAAGGAAUUGAAGAAAAAUGUCCAAGUUAUAAAUAUGGAAAUAGAAACAAUAAUGAAAUCACAAAUAGAGGAAACAUGAAGAUGGAAAACCCAGGAAGGAGAUCAGGAGUCUCGGAUGCAAGCAUCAUGAACAGAAAAAAAUGAGGUAGAAAAGAGAAUCUCAGGCAUAAAACACAUUAGAAAAAAAAAGUGUAAAGAUUUGUUAAUCCCAAACAUUUAGGAAAUUUGGGACACAAUGAAAAGACCAAAUCUAAGAAUAAUAGAAAUAGAAGAGUGAGACGAUUCCUAGUUCAAAUGGCCAGAAACCACCUCCACCAAACUCAUUGAAGAAAACUACUCUAUCCUCAAAAAGAUAUGGCCACAAAUGUACAAGAAUCAUAUAGAACAUCAAAUAGAUUGAUCCAGAAAAGAAAAUAGUUCCACCACAUGAAAAUCAAGGUGCUAAAUACACAGAACAAAGAAAGAAUAUUAAAUACUGUAAGUGAAAAGGCCAAGUUACAUAUAAGUGCAGACAUGUAGGAACAAGAGCAGACAUUUCAACAGAGGCUCUAAAAGCCAGAAUAUCUUGAACAGAUGUCUUACAGACCGAAAAUACCACAGGUGCAAGCUCAGAUCACUCUACCCAUCAAAAAUAUUAAUCACCAUAAACGGAGAAACCAAGAUAUUUUAUGAUACAAGAAAAUUUUAACCAUCUAAAUCUAAAAUAUCUUUGCCAAAUUGAUCCAUUUAAAUAAUGUCUUGAUUCAUUUCGGCAGAUAUCUUGGUUUUGGGUGUUAGAGAUUCACAUUUUCGGUGGGACUCUUCUUAUAAGCACAAACUGUCCCAUUCCUGAUCUCUUCAAAAUGUGCUGGAGAGAUGGCCUGGAUUUCCUCCAGGAGAGGGAGAUAUAGCUCUUGGGGUUUUAUGAGAGAAUUGCAACUCAAGUCACUGUUUCCAGAAGACCGUUGAAUUUCUCUAUUUUCAAAUAGUUGUACACUCAUAGGAAGUUGUCAAAAAUUUAUAGGCAGUAACUUCUCCACUUUGCACACAAGCUUCUCUUGGGUUGAUAUCUUUUAUAAUAAAUGAGGAAAUUGAAAGAGUUUUUAUA
rnacentral:lncRNA from 1 species